AAACGGCAAGUAGAACCUUCCCUGGUGUGAUGGGUGCUAGAAAGGCAUCUGGAGAGAUAUCGGAUUUCCUUACUGUGCAUUGAUAGAUAGAUAUGAUAAUUUUGGGAAGUUCAUCAGUGCAGCAUUAGAAUAUAUGAGGUCUUACUGUGCAUUGAUGGAUAGAUAUGAUAAUUUUGGGAAGUUCAUCAGUACAGCAUUAGAAUAUAUGAGGUCUUACUGUGCAAUGAUGGAUAGAUAUGAUAAUUUUGGGAAGUUCAUCAGCGCAGCAUUAGAAUAUAUGAGGUCUUACUGUGCAUAGAUAGAUGGAUAGAUAUGAUAAUUUUGGGAUGUGUAUCAGCGCAGCAUUAGAAUAUAUGAGGUCUUACUGUGCAUUGAUAGAUGGAUAGAUAUGAUAAUUUUGGGAUGUGUAUCAGCGCAGCAUUAGAAUAUAUGAGGUAUCUGGAAGAGGGACAAAGUUAAUUUUUUCUGGUUUUCUUUUGCACUGGGAAAGGCAUACUACACAUCACUUGAAGAACAAGAUAUAAGUUGCAAGGGAAAAGUGACCCUCGGUACACCAACCACAAGGUCACUUUUCGCUUGCAACUUGUUUCUUUCUUGUUCUUCCUGUGAUGUGUAGCCUGCCUUUCCCAGUGUUAACAGAAGAAGAAGAAAAAAACGGCUUGUCCCUUGCGCUCCUUCUCUCGACACCUCAUAUAUUACAUGCAAAAGCAGUGGGGAUGUUGAGUAUGCUUUUAUUCAUUGGGUAAAAGUCCAUCGAAGACGAGUUUAACCCCUUGACUGCAAAUUUCCCACAAGAAGACAUCACCAAGCUACAGGAAUGGAACAAAAAGUGGCUGCUACAAUUCAGUGAAGAUAAAUGUAAAGUCCUGCACCUUGGGAGGGGAAUCCAGCAUACCAAUACCACAUGGGAAACACUCCACUAUCCACCACAGAGGCAGAGAAAGACCUGGGACACUAUGUUACCAAGCUACCAGUGAAAGCCAAAUCCGUGUCAAUCGCAGCGGACGGGUUAAGUGAAGAUAAAUUAGGAUAAAUGAUGGAAAAGUAAGUUUGAAUUGUUGCUUAUGAUGGCUUA